UACGGGGGGGGCAAGCGUUGUUCGGAAUUACUGGGCGUAAAGGGCUCGUAGGUGGCCAACUAAGUCAGACGUGAAAUCCCCAGGCUCAACUUGGGAACUGCGUCUGAUACUGGAUGGCUUGAAUUCGGGAGAGGGAUGCAGAAUUCCAGGUGUAGCGGUGGAAUGCGUAGAGAUCUGCAAGAAUACCCGUGGCGAAGGCGGCCAGCUGGGCCGGUUCUGACGCUGAGGCGCGAAAGCGUGGGGAGCAAACAGG
rnacentral:rRNA from 1 species